rnacentral:rRNA from 1 species
GAUUAAGUUAUUAAGGGCGCACGGUGGAUGCCUUGGCACUAGAAGCCGAUGAAGGACGUUACUAACGACGAUAUGCUUUGGGUAGCUGUAAGUAAGCGUUGAUCCAGAGAUUUCCGAAUGGGGGAACCCAGCAUGAGUUAUGUCAUGUUAUCGACAUGUGAAUUCAUAGCAUGUCAGAAGGCAGACCCGGAGAACUGAAACAUCUUAGUACCCGGAGGAAGAGAAAGAAAAAUCGAUUC